GGAGCUGUGCCUGAAGUAAAGGGCCACUUUGAUAGAGUGAAUUAUGGAGGUUAAAAUCCUCCCAACUCCU
rnacentral:tRNA from 1 species